GACGAACGCUGGCGGCGUGCUUAACACAUGCAAGUCGAACGGAAAGGCCCUGCUUUUGUGGGGUGCUCGAGUGGCGAACGGGUGAGUAACACGUGAGUAACCUGCCCUUGACUUUGGGAUAACUUCAGGAAACUGGGGCUAAUACCGGAUAGGAGCUCCUGCUGCAUGGUGGGGGUUGGAAAGUUUCGGCGGUUGGGGAUGGACUCGCGGCUUAUCAGCUUGUUGGUGGGGUAGUGGCUUACCAAGGCUUUGACGGGUAGCCGGCCUGAGAGGGUGACCGGCCCCAUUGGGACUGAGAUACGGCCCAGACUCCUACGGGAGGCAGCAGUGGGGAAUAUUGCACAAUGGGCGGAAGCCUGAUGCAGCAACGCCGCGUGCGGGAUGACGGCCUUCGGGUUGUAACCCGCUUUCGCCUGUGACGAAGCGUGAGUGACGGUAAUGGGUAAAGAAGCACCGGCUAACUACGUG
rnacentral:rRNA from 1 species